GCUUCGGCGCUCAGUGGCGAACGGGUGAGUAGCACAUGGGCAACCUGCCCUUCAGAGGGGGACAACAGCUGGAAACGGCUGCUAAGACCGCAUAGGCGCGGACGGGACAUCCCGUCCACGUUAAACGUCCUUUCGGGGACGGCUGAAGGAUGGGCCUGUGGCGCAUUAGCUUGUUGGCGGGGCAACGGCCCACCAAGGCGACGAUGCGUAGCCGGCCUGAGAGGGCGGACGGCCACACUGGGACUGAGACACGGCCCAGACUCCUACGGGAGGCAGCAGUAGGGAAUUUUCGGCAAUGGGGGGAACCCUGACCGAGCAACGCCGCGUGAACGAGGAAGGCCUUCGGGUCGUAAAGUUCUGUUGCGAAGGAAGAACGCCGGAGGGAGGAAAUGACCUCCGGGUGACGGUACUUCGCGAGAAAGCCACGGCUAACUACGUGCCAGCAGCCGCGGUAAUACGUAGGUGGCGAGCGUUAUCCGGAAUCAUUGGGCGUAAAGAGGGAGCAGGCGGCCGUGAGGGUCUGUGGUAAAAGACUGAAGCUCAACUUCAGUGAGCCAUGGAAACCGGACGGCUGGAGUGCGGCAGAGGAUCGUGGAAUUCCAUGUGUAGCGGUGAAAUGCGUAGAUAUAUGGAGGAACACCAGUGGCGAAGGCGACGGUCUGGGCCUGCACUGACGCUCAU
rnacentral:rRNA from 1 species